UACGAAGGGGGCUAGCGUUGCUCGGAAUCACUGGGCGUAAAGGGUGCGUAGGCGGGUUUUUAAGUCAGGGGUGAAAUCCUGGAGCUCAACUCCAGAACUGCCUUUGAUACUGAAGAUCUUGAGUUCGGGAGAGGUGAGUGGAACUGCGAGUGUAGAGGUGAAAUUCGUAGAUAUUCGCGAAGAACACCAGUGGCGAAGGCGGCUCACUGGCCCGAUACUGACGCUGAGGACGAAAGCGUGGGGAGCAAACAGG
rnacentral:rRNA from 1 species